UGCAAACUCUGAAUCCAUCACAAUGGUUCAGCAUAUUUACUUAUAUAUAAAUGGAAGUCGGAAACGGAAAUCCGCCUCCUCCGCCCAAAUCAAACCAGAAUGCCAAAAAAUCGGGGGUCUGCCCCCAGAGGCUGUAUCGCCGUCUGCCGGAAGUCAGACGCCAAAUACAGCCGAUGGGUUCCGAGAAUGCUGCUGUACAGACACAGUGCAAAGCAGCAGCAAUGAGCUAGCUAGUGGGAUACACACAUGCGCUAACAUGUACACUAUGACAGACCAGCUCACCACAACAAACCACAGAGAAGCUCGUGUUAUAACACACAUAGAGGGAGUGUGACUUAAUUCUCUGCUCAGGACGCCAUUACCCCACUGUAUCUUCACAUAACAAAUAUUGGUAUGUAGGGGUGGGAAUCACUAGAGGAUCCAUGAUACAAUAUAAUCAUGAUACUUAAAUCAUGAUCCGAUAUUAUUGCAAUUUUAAAUGAGUAUAUUGCAGUAUAAGUAUUGCAAUAUAUCGCACAAUAUAUUGUGAUAUAUGACCUUUUUUUCAAUUUAUGUCUCUAAAGGAAAACUGUCAACAUGUGUUUAAUCUAAUAAGAUAGUUUUCAGUCUGUUCAUCUCACUUCAGACAUUUUUUGUGGCAGCAAAAUGUAUGUAGUGAACUGAAAAAGCAACUGAUUAUAUUAUUAUAGUAGGCUACCUAAAAUUAAUUUGUAUUUGUAAUAUUGAUCAUUUACAUGAUAAAAAGCGAUACUAAGCAUUGUGUGCCGAUACGAUAUUGCCACACAAAUAUAUCGCGAUACUAUGCUGUAUCGAUUUUUCCCCCACCCCUUGUGCUUUGCUGCUAUAGUGAUACUCUUAAUGUUGCACACAGAACUUUUGAGCACAGCCAGGCUUACUGUUUCCCCUAUUUUCCAGGCUUUAUGCUAAGCUAAGCUAACCAUCUGCUUGCUGUAGCUUUUCAAAUAGAAGCCAUUUCUCAAAAUGUCCAUUUCUUUCGGAUUUAACACACAAAAGAAAUGAUCUGUGCAUAAAAUAGGAUGCAUGUCGCAGAUUAUACGACCCCAAAUAUUGAAAGUAGGCAGAGUUAAAAUGUUAUAUAAAUACUGUUUAUAUGUAUCAGCAAUAGCAAUCCAAUAAUAUGUCAUGCAAGGUGCCAUUUUGCUGCCUAAUUUUAUUGUAAAUAUGUCUUGUCUAUAAUCAUUUUUUACUUCAAUACUUUUUUGAAUGCAGGAUUUUACCUUUGAAUAGAGGAUUUUUAAGUUAUGGUGUUGCACUUUGACUCAGGCCUAAGUAAAAUAUUUGAGAAGUUCUUUCACCACUGAACUAAAUGAAGAAUGACUGCCGUAUAUCAGAACUCAUAAAUGUUGGAUAAUUAAGCAUAUCUCCUGUUAAGUCUGAAAUUUAAAGGAGAAAAAUGGGAGAUCUAAGGUUUUAAUUACUCCUUAAAGUCACAGUGGAUAGUUUGUUUGCUCACAGGCAAUUACCCAACAAUCCCUCGAAAAUUCAGGAACAUAAAGUGAAAAGUGCAACCCAUUCAUUCAUGUUUGGUGGGUCUGUGGCGUUGUCGCUACCUGCACUCAAGCUCACAUUUACAUGAUAAUCACAGCAGUGAUCGGUGGUGUCAGCGGUGACCCUUUUUGAACAUUGCGUGUGAUUCCAGGAACCAAAGUCUUGUCGCCUGAUCUUCAGGUGAAAUUGCGAAAGAAAGAAAAAAAGGCUCCUGAGGUUCCAUUAUGUAUGAAGAUGAGCGUUAUGUGGGAAAAGCAAGAAGUGCUCUCUGCUGUGUGUCUUUGAUCUAUUAUCUAACAGACUUCCAGGCCCUAAUCCUGAGCACCCUUCAGGAGGAGAGCCCAUUUCUUCCCCACCCACCCCUCCUGAUCCACGUGUGACAUCAUGGGAGAGGAAGAGACCUCUGUGGAUAAUUCGGCUCCCAGUAAAAAUCUCCUGACUGUCUGGAUCAGAAAUAAGUUUAAAUCACCAGAUCCAGUUAUUUUGGAAAGGGGGAGACCUCUGUGAAUAAUUCGGCUCCUGGUAAAAACCUCCUGAACAUCUGGAUCUUAUGUUAUCGGAGAAAAAAGUUCACAACACAAAGACCCCUGAGCGCUGGCCAGCCCACCCUGCAGAUGGCCAGAGGAUCAGAGGCUGUCAGCACGCUUAAACGAGCCAAGAGUCGAGGCUUCAGCCCUGCGGGGGAGGACGGAGCAUGAAUGGGGUAUUUCCACCAACCUCUAUAGCCCCCCACUGGGCAUUUGUAAAAUGAUUUGUGGCAAAUUUGUUUAAUCAAUAUGGAUGUGGGGGUUUGGAUACCCUCCUCGGACACAAGUCUUUCUCUGACCUCUUUUUUUUCCUUCCCCCUGCCUGUAAGUGCAUCAUGAUGUAUUAGGUAAGCUCAGGGUUAAGUCAGGUUUUUGUUUGUAUGUGUGUGAGUACAAAACCAAGUGGAUGCAUACCCGGGAGGAAAGUUAGUGAUCAGGAGAGGGCUCGCCAAACAGCACAGGGAUUCAAACAAGUAAUACAAGUUUGGACACUUCACAACAAAGACCUCUUUACAAUGUGUAUUGCAUGUGUGUGUCCUUGAAGAGGAAUCACUCCUUUUGAUCUUUCUGGUGUAUUUUUUGUCUCCAUUAAAAGUUUUUUUGGGAGUUUUCCUCUGAAUCGAGGGUCUUGAGAUAAAGGCUGUCACGUGCUCCGCUUGUUUUGAAGCCCUUUCAUUUGCAUUUUGGGCUAAACAAUUAAAAUUAACUUUAAAAUCUAUGAUUCUCUUUUUGGGUACUUGAUGUCACAUUUCUCUGUGUAAUAUCACCAGCCUUCCAUGAUGUAAAAGCCGAGACACACCAAACUGACUGACUAAUCACUAGUGGUGAUGUCGGCCUAAGAUCAACCGUCAAGGGGUUGAAAUCCUUUUCUCCCUCCAGGCAAGGAAACCCUUGAUUUUGGCAACCGCUUUACAUUUAUUGGAUGACAGUGAUGUGCUUUUUAUGAACGCACCUGACCAGUUCCUACAGAAACUUGAGACUGUUUACCAAUGUGCUUUACAUCUUAUUACUGGCUGUGGAAACUGUAGCCCUCUCUGUACGUCCUCCGACUUUCGCAUUGGUUGGUUUUUAAAUAAAAAGCUCUGUUUGGGAUGGUCCUUUUAUAUCUUUGUACAUUUGUAAAAGCCAAAAAAGCCCCUUCUUUGAAUAACUUACAGAGAUCCUGAAAUUGUCUGAGCUGAUAACUAAGAGGGAAUUUAAGUCAGUUCUUAAGGGUUGAGAAAAUAGCGCUGUUGGUCAGUGUGAUUGGUAUUCAAAUUUGAACUGAACUCAUUUUAGAAAAUAAAACGUGUAUGAAUUUAACUGUUUUUGUGUUGCAUUUUAACUGGAUGUUGUGCUUGCUCAUUUGUGGCGUGUGAUUGUUUAACUUGUCUGCUUGUAUUUAUUGUUGUAACGAUGUUUGAGCUGCCCUCCUGGCCAGGUCGCUCUUGAAAAAGAGAUUUUAAAGUUCAACAAGACUUUUAUCUGCUUAAAUAAUGGAUAUAUAUAUAUGUAGGCCUACCGUUGCGUGACCCAGUGUCACCUGUGUCUUAGCUAAAAAGUUGCACUGAACUCACCGCAAUGAUAACAGCCAACAGCCAGCUAGCACGUACAUUCUCCACCUGUAUGAGAGGAAAUAUCUCUUAAUACCAGCAGGUGGCAUUAGCCUGUAAUCGUCAUUCAAAACGACAGGAUGGAUUCAAGAUGCUAGUUAGCCAGUUAGCACAUUAACAACACAACCAGAUGCUGAAAGAACUAAUUAUAUUUACUGUGCCCCAGUGAACAAUAAUACAAUUACGAACCUUGUUUCUAUGUCAUGCCCUCUUGACUUAAAUCAUUUGUUUACUUUCCUCACUUCCAUUUCUUAUUUUGUGUGCAGAGCUGAACUUCCAAUCAGAGUGAUUUCAUUCACCGAUGGGCUUCACCAUCUCUGACGCCAAUUUAACAUGCUGAAUCAGCUGGGGAAAAAAACGGAUAUACUCUGAUAUACUCAAAAAACACCUCAGAGGAGUUGAUAUUUGCAUAUUUAGAACUAUUCUGGCAGAAUUUAGCAUGAUGGUUAAUUUCAUUACUUCCCUGAUUUUGUUUUGGGUACCAUAGUUGCUAAAUCUAUGUAGA